rfam:Triticum aestivum genome assembly, contig: Triticum_aestivum_CS42_TGACv1_scaffold_500006_6BL
UAUGUACUGUACCUCCGUCCGAAAAUACUUGUCAUCAAAAUGGAUAAAAAAAGGUGUACCUAGAACUAAAAUACGUCUAGAUACAUCCCCUUUUAUCCAUUUUGAUGACAAGUGUUUCCGGACGGAGGGAGUGGGAA